GAAUGAUGUGGACAGCAUCAAUCAACGCCAAAAGUCAGGCAGAAUCAUUUUUUCAAAGAAUCAAAGUAACAAAAGAAUUACACUAAUUAAGGGUAUGCUUGACUGAAGUGAAAAUGAUAAAGGGGGAAUAAAAGAAGCAUUUGCAUUAGAACAAUGUAAGCUUAUAAGUUAUCCCUUAUCUCACUCAUCCCUUUUCCACCAUCCCAUCUUUACUCUAGCCAUAUAACACUUGAAAGAGUGAUAUUGUGAACGUUGUGUGUGCUUGCUAUGUCACACACCUAAUCCAAUGGUAGAAGAGUGUGCCAAGUGAUUACAAAUAACAUAACUCAUUUUAAAACAUUUCCCUUAAUAGUUAUUUAUGGGGACUAUUUUGACUCCUCAAGGACCAAAAUAAGCACCAACCUGAAAAAACAAACAUAACAUGAGCAAACACUAGCUACCAAUACCAUACAAUGUCCUGUGAAACGGGAAGGGAAAGUAAAUAAAAAAUUAAAAAAAGAAAAACACAUAAAUAUAAAUUCACUAGUUUACAAGCAAUUUCACUAGUUGUGGAGAACCAUAACCUGGUUAAAAGGUAUAAACAAAUAUCUAGAAAGUGAUUCAUCAUUGUUAAAAGUUACACAACACAAGCCACAGAAUAAUAAGCUAAGAGAAUAAUGUUUUUUUUUGUCCAUGUAUCUUCCAAUCCGAUCAGCCAAGAACUAAUCCUUAUGGAUAUGAACCUCAUCUCCAUUUAAGGUUGACUACUGCCUAAUGGGUUGCUGCAUACAAAAAGGUGGAUUCGAACUUCUACACUUGCUUAAUAGUUCAUUCUAAUCUUUUAAACACAAAAACAAGGAGA